AGCAGUCGCGCGGGAAUACGAAGGGGGCUAGCGUUGUCCGGAAUUACUGGGCGUAAAGCGCACGUAGGCGGAUAUUUAAGUCAGGGGUGAAAUCCCAGAGCUCAACUCUGGAACUGCCUUUGAUACUGGGUAUCUUGAGUAUGGAAGAGGUGAGUGGAAUUCCGAGUGUAGAGGUGAAAUUCGUAGAUAUUCGGAGGAACACCAGUGGCGAAGGCGGCUCGCUGGUCCAUUACUGACGCUGAGGUGCGAAAGCGUGGGGAGCAAACAGGAUUAGAUACCCGAGUAGUCCCUGUCUCUUAUACA
rnacentral:rRNA from 1 species